UCCUUGGGUCCCAAGAUCCCCAGUUAGUCUACCUUCUUCUCUCCAACUUUCAAAGUCUUCUUAUGUUUGCUUCGUAUAUAAAUUGUCCAGAGUU